ensembl:lncRNA
AGAAAAUGAGGUUAAAACAUUAUCAAAAAUGUUUAGUGACAAAGAUCUCAGUGAUGGCAAUUUGUCCAGAAAAUGGAAGUGUACAGUUGUUAACUGCUACGUGAAAUUCUGAGGAUAAGAACUUAAAAACUACCAUGAAAGGGUUCAGCUGAUCGCUUUCUGUGAUAACUAGUGGGUGCUAAGUAUUCCCCCGAGGCUUCUUGGGUCAGCAGCUUCUCUGGGUACUGCAGUGAACUCGAGUCAGAAGAACGCUGAGCAGAUCCACCUGGCUUUGUGCAUCCAGCAUGGAACUCCUGAACUCAGCUCCCUCCUUGCACUUCCCACACCCUACACUCCAGUGUUAGGCCAUGUGCCACAGCUCCAAGGGUGUGGAGAAAGGCAAAAAAAAUUCACAAAGGCCUCACCUGAGCUGGCAGAAAUUGACAAGAGG